UCCCGUCCUCCGGCCUCUCCCCAGCCUGUCCUCGGCCUGCGGGGCGCCUGCGGCGGCGAUGAGUGCUGCGGCGGGGUCCCCCCGAGGGCGCGGGGGCCGCUGUGGCUGCGCCCGCACCUGGCCCGGCUCCGCGCUAGGGGAGCCAUGGAGGCCGAGCCGAGGGGAGGGACCCCGCGGUCCGGCGGGGCGGGGCGUCACUGCGUGGAAUUUUCCCUCCAAACCGCACUCGUUUCUUCCAGGGGGUCCCGCACGAGGAGGACCCCCACCGCGCCGCUGCAAUUUUGUAGGUGGGACUCGCGGUGAUCCUGCGAGGACCCCGCGGGCUCUGCGGCAGGGACUCAGCCCCCAGGACCCAGGGAAACGCCUUGUGAGCGGACAGGGGGCCCCGUCCUCGAAUCCCCCCGGGGCUCUCGGGGCCCCUGAACCCGCCUCCGCUUCUCCAGCUGCUGCCGUUUGAGUUGGACGCUGGCCGGACCCCAGAGCCUCUGCUGAUGUUGUCGUUGGUGGCCGGCCACGGGCAUCUCUGAGCCAAAGGCCCCCGAGCAGAGCCAGGACGUGGAAGGCCCCAGAUCAAGUCUCUUCCCAGAGAGGCAAGGAUCUCAGUGCUGCAGCCUGGGAGCCACGGCUGCUUUGCCUCCAGCCAAGGGCCCCUUGGGGGACUGCAGGGCAGCCCCUGACCAGAGCCGCAGGCGGGGGGCAGGCAAGGGGAGGAGGGGCCCCAGUGUCAGGGCUCCAUCAGCUGGCAUCCCCCACCAUGACCCCACUGCUGACUUUGGGGUGAAUAAUGAUCCCCGUGUUGCCAUGUUGUGUGAGGGUAACAGCCUUACGUGUCGCCAAGAAGCAGGGAGAGCGGCCGUUCCCAAGCAGGAAGCCAAGUGCCCGGCUGUCGGCAGUCAGCCGACUGGAGGCCCAGCUCCUCCCCUCAGUCACAGAGCCUCUGGUUUGGGAAACACUGUCCCGGCCACUCGGCUAACAGUCCUCUGUGCACCAGCUCCAUGCCAGGCUGAGUAGUGCCCAGUGCAGGCAGUGACAGGCACUCGAAGCCGUGGCUGUCAUCAGGGGUGACAGCAUUGAUCUCAGAUGGGGAAACUGAGGCACACACGUGCGGGGUGACGUGAUUUGAAUCUGUGUGCACGCUUCAGCACUAGGCUUUACUGCCUUCAGACCCCUAUGACAUUUGGGGGCACUGGAUUCUGCCUUAAGCAAACAAAAACAAGGCCGAGAAAGAGUCGGUGUUUCAUGAUUACCCACCCAGGCGGUCUGGGUGCUGGGCUUCAGAGCCCCAGGCCAGUCCAGGAGUGCCAUGCCGGCCACUGGGCUUCCUGCUGUGACGUGAGGUGAAUCUUGUUUUGCAAGCAGGCUGGAAGUGCUGGCGGCGGGCAGACUGUCUUCCCCCGGGGAGUCACACAUUGAUCAUAGCAGCGCCUUCCUCUGGGAUGCAGAUGUAAGAGGUUCCUUCUGCCCGCUCCCCACUCUCCCGGGGCACUGGUGGGUGGCCUCUCUGGGACCCUCCUCUCAGCUUCACGCGGCUCCGCAGCCCCCUUCCCUAUGGGAAGCUUGCAAGAGAACACAUUCCCACACACUCCGACCAGGCCCAGGGGCACUGGUUUCUAAGUCAGUUCCAAGCGUUAGCAGCUCAAAGGAAUCUAAAAUGACUUUAUUUGGUGUCAAAGACAAAAGCAUUAUUACUCAGUUACUGCUUUAAGGAAAAGAAUGUCUCUCUUUUUAAUAGUUAUCUAAGUUGAGUGACUUUCUAUUCAUAAUCUUGAGGUGCUUUGAAAAAAUAUUCCCUUCCUUUCAACCUCCCCGAAAAGGCCUUGUCGAAAGGCUCUUGGUGAUUUGUACGCCAUGAGCCUCCAUUCUAGUAUUUGUACCUGUUGUGCUUAGAAACGCUCCGGUUCAUGCAGUAAUAUCUUGCUUCAGAGAAGAAUGAAGUUUCUCAGAGCUGUGUGGCUUUAGGGGAAAAGGACAAAACAAAGUGAAAAUCUAGUAUUUCCGUUUGGAAACGUGAUAGCUCAGCAUAGAACCAGUCCUCGUUAUUCUGAAGCGAUGACGGUAAUAACCAACAUGUGGCCAAAGCUCUCGGCUUUCUGCCAGCCUCGCAGUCAGGCACAGCAGUCAGCAGAGACAUUCCCAGCACUGGCCUUUUCCCGGCCACGUCCCUGUGGAAGCAGGUGCCACCUGCCCCUGGCGCUCUGCUGCCCUUGUCUCCCCAGUACCCCCGGGCUCCUCUCCGUCAGACCCAGGCAGCCUCGGCUGGGCAUGCAGCGCACAGUACCCCCGCGGCUGGACUGCUGCCUUCUCAUCAAGCAAACUGCUCAUCGCUCCAAGCAGCUGAUUUUAGUUGCUGAGGAGGAGAUAAGGAGGCACGAACAAAAAUGACUGGAUUGUCAAGGACUUACAAGAACGUCAUGGCCAAACUCAUGUCAACAAAAUGACUGGAGUCAACUGGUCAGGGACAAGGAGUUUCAUCCUCUCCUCAGGCCCUUGCUGAUACCCAGGAUGUCUGAGGCACAUCAUGUGGUAAGUGGAAGACCUUGGACUCCGUGACAACUCCCAAAUUAUCUUCCUUUUUAAGGCCAGAGCAGCAAAAUACUUCAUGGCCCACAGAUGGCUCCAGUCUACCUUCUUUUGUCACUAAAUGUUGCCGUUAACAGAUUCUUGGCAUCCCUUUCCUGAGUGGGAGAUGAAGCUUCCAGGACUGGGCUAACACGUGGAUGAGCUCCGCCCAUGAGUCACCGAACUUCACCGACAGCUCCCCUAGAGCACCGCCAUGCACGCCCGCAGCACCGCUCACGGCUGUCGGGGAUUUUGUCUUCCCCUUAUGAAUGACUGAUAAAUCCUCCUGUCAUAUCUCUGAGGGUCCCCCCCUAACACUGCAGCUAGUAGGAGUGGUAUCAGUAUUACUUGUGGAUACUCUUUUCCACUCAAAUGUGUCUCCACCAUUUUUCAUUUAUUUUUAAUAUUUUUCUUUCCCAACCAGUUUCUUUGUUUAGGCCCCAAUGAGCCUUAUUUUACUGAUUCCCAUUUAUUCCUUUCAAGGAAUCAGAAAAGGCUUAAUGUCAAUUCCAAUUUCCAAAGCGGGUAGCAAUUGAGGAAAGUGCUUUCUUCAGAUCAAUACUUCCUCCUGACUUGACACUGAGCUAUUAAUAAUUUCUUGGCAUAUGAUUUCACUGGGAAAAAAACAGGAGCCCACAGAGCUUUAGGACAUGGAUGUAAAACUAGCUGGUUCUCUCUGAGACAGGGUUUAUGGGGAGGCCACAAAGGCUCAGCAGAAGCAGAGAGAGACCCUAGUCUCUGCGGCCCCGGUGUCCACCAAAGCUGAUUUUCACAUGCCCAGAGAUUAGGCCCAUCUGGCAACAAUCCCUUCACCGAUUCGUUCUGCUGAGUCUGUCUGAACACCUCGUCUUGCUCUCUGUGAUUUCAAAUGGGUGUAUCUGCUGCCUUCAGUAAUUCACUCAGCCUUGUAAGUUGUGGACGUUCGUUAACUGACCAGCUGGGGCGCCCCUCAGCCGGCGGCUCCAAGCUAAGUGUGAGUGCGGUCACCCCCGGGGGGCGGCCUGGGUCUGCGUCGCCCCUCAGAGGUGCCCCUCCUUCCAGGCUUCUCUGAAGAACCCCAGUCCCAGCCUUGGGGACCCGGGUGCUCCUCUCCCAGGCAAAGCCGGGGGUGACGGUGGCUGCCUCCCCGGCUCCCCACGCCAGCACAGGCGGCUGCAGGGGACUCCCCGCCAGGCUUAGAACAACUUAGGGGACUUCUGAGGCAGAAGAGGGAGACCGAACCGCAGGACAAGAGAGCACCACCGCCAAGGUCCCAGAGGAAGAGCGCUACAAAGGCAAGCCCUUCCCCAGCCCCACGCCUACCCCUCCGGCCUGCAGCAGAACGACGCUGAGCCCAGCCGUACCUGGGCCCCUGUAGGACUGCGCUUCAGGUUGUGCCCUGAGGGUGCUGGAGGGCUGGGCUGGCGUGGCUCCCUGCAGUAGGCCCCUCGAGGACUCCUCGUCCUUUUCUUCUUAACACUGAGCUGGUACCAACCGGUGCAACACACAUGAUCAUACAUGCACACAUGUGCACACAUGCACAAAGAUGCAUGUGCAGAUCCCAAAGGAGGAAUGCAUGUACUUCCCUAAGAACUCCACAGACGGCAGGGUCCUGGUGCCGAGGAAGCAGUGUCCCUCAGGCACAGGGCAUCACCCACCCACCAACAGAAGCAUUUCAGGUUAUGCCUCCUUGGGCCUGCCGAGAAUAAGAAAUGGGCACAUUUCUGAGGCAGACCCUAUUACCCAGUCCAAGUUGUGCCACUCCCCACAUGACAUGCCAGUAAGUCAAAGACAAGGUGUUGGGACAAAACGAUUUUAUUUGAAAAGCCAGCAGACUGAGAAGAUGGAGGACUAAUGUCCCCAGGCUUCAUCUUAGGUUGAUUUCAAGCCCCUUUGAUAUUAGGGAAGGAGGGGAGCAGGAGAGGGUGGAGGUCAGGAGGUGAUGACCAGCCUCAGACAUCCGGGCACCAGCAAGGGCCUGAGGAGUCCCUGGCCAGUUGAGUCCAGUCAUUUUGUUGGCAAGUCUGGCCGUGAUGUUCCUACUCGUCCUUGACAACCCAGUCGUCACUUUUGUCCAUACUUCCUUAUCUCCUGGGGGAGGCGAGUCUUGGGUAAGGGGCUGUUUGCAUCAAUCUUAAGCCGUGAGCAAAAUUCCUUCUGAUGUUUAACAAGCCUGGGUGCAGGGCCGCAAGGCUGAGCAAAAGCUUUUUGACCCAAAAUAAAGGCAGCAAAGGAGACAAAUACACUGUGAAGACAGAGGCGCCGAGUUUUUUCACUCCAUCACGCUUCCUAAGGCCCGCUGCCUUGACCUCACGAAGACCCAGCUACAGCUUUAAAAGGUAUGUUUACAAAGGCCCAAGAGGCUGGGGCCCCAGGGGAAGAGGGAGGCCGGGGCAAUGCGGUUCGUUGUUUCAUGUGCACGUGGAGGGCUUGUGUCUUAUUAGAAAACUCCCAUGGUGGGGAGUGGGGUCAGGGAGGACUUCACCCCAGUCCCCUGCCUCCUCAGUGUCUCGCUCCCGGCACCGGGUGUUCUGCCAACUUCCGGCUGAUGGGCUCCACCAGUGUAUUGAUGAAGGCUUGGCACCCAGACUGUGGGAAGCUCCCAAGUCCCGUGCUAGUCUAUGGCAUUUAUACUUUCAGCAUCUCCAUGGACGCUAUUUCCCAAAAAUAGUGCCAUCUUACUUAAUAUUUUCUUUUCAACUCUUGUGAAAUUAUCUCUUUUUUAAGGAAAUACUAUCAUAAAAAAAUAGAUGAUUGAUGAUGGAUAGACAGACAGACAGACAUAGAUGGUGAAUGGAUGGAUGGGUAACUGAAACAAUAGCUUCUCUCUCCAAUCCUAACAUAUUCCAGAUCUUUCCUUAGAGCAUCUAAACCUUCUGGCUGUUUACCAGCUGGAACUGGGUCUCCUGCUUUAGUGUUCAGACUCAGCUGUUGAGUCAAGCUACAGAGACGCCUGCACUGGCGGCUUCAGGAGGGAUCUCAGACCUCUGUGUCCCAAGGAAAACCCACAUUAGAAUGCAUCACGAGCCCACAUGGACCCUGGGAACGGCUGUAUUCUGAGGCCCGUGUCAACUGACCUGAAAAGUAGUUGCACCAUUGACUUCAAGUAGAAAGUUUUUCACCCACCCACCCUGCCAUGAACUUUCCAAAUCACCAUCUGGUGCUUCCUGUCCUCCCGUGAGCCCCUCCUGUUACAGUCCCCCUGGGGGGAGGUUCCAGCCCCAUGAAGCUUUGGAAAACAGUCGCAAAGAUGGAUCCAAGAGCAAAGGUCUGGCCGAGACCAGAUGUGCUUGUGCGCGUUUCCAACAAACUCCAGCACCUCCAGCUCAUGCUGGGCCCAAGCAGAGGAGCUUUGCCGGCCCUCUCCUCCAUCCUAAAGGACUGUAGGUGGGUCACGACAGCUGUGGCCCUGGCUUGGGAGUAAAUAUAUUCUCAGUGUCCUCAAGCAGGAAAAUCAGAAGCCAAACUAAGAGUAUCAAAGACCCUAAACAUACUUCCAGUGAGUUUCCGUCACAAGAUUUACAAACCCGCCCUCUUGGCCUGCUAUUUCUGUUUUUCAUUACCUGUAUCUUGAAAGUCUUAAGGAAAGGCUUCAUGACUCCAGUGGCCUUGACCAGUUACGCGGUAACGACAUCCACAAACGUGCCCCAGGUCUCUGGAGAAAGACAGGACUCUAAAGACAUGUCAUUUGUCUCUAUUUAUAUUUAGGUAUAUAGCCUGCUUAUCAUAAAAAAAAAAUAGAUUAAUUACUUCAUAAAAUUACAAAACAAGAAAAGGUAAUAUCAGAAGUAAAGUCAAAUUCCAUCCAGUCAAUGUAUUUGGGUAAAUAGUGCCUUGAAUUUUAAGGCAUUCUAAGAACAAGCAGCAGGCUCAAAUAGUGCAGUUUUCCCUCAAAAUGAGCAUAGCCUAUCAGAGCAUCUGUGUUUAUGUGGGGUCAUAUUCACAAAUACAAAUUCUGGUUUCAGAAAACACAACAUCAAGCCUCUUACACUGACAUGAAUGCUGUUUCUGAUGUUAUUCUAAGACAGGUAGCACAUAUUUUGAGUGUGAGAGCAGAAUCACUUGGUUUCCCGAUCCACAGAACAACUCCAUACUAAGGAUUUGGGCAAAAAUAACCUUGAUUUUUAUAGACUUGUAUUUUCUUCCAAGGUCUUGGCCCAUAAUCUUAUUAAAUUUGACAGUUCAAAAUAAGUUUCCCUGGGAAAGUUUGAAAACUGACUCUUAGAAAACUUUGCAAACAUUGACUUUUAAAAUAUAUAUUAUUAAUUUUCAAUUACUACAAAUGAUUAUUACAAAGAAUCUGAACUAUUCAAUGCACAAGAAUAUAAUUUAUGGGGUAAAUAUCCAUCCCACCCUCCCUCAGAUAAUCACCAUCAGUUGUUGUGUAUGUAUACUUUCAGAGUUUUAUAUAAAUUGGAACAUGCAUGUUCUAAAUGACUGUGGAGUCCCGUGCUAAUGAGCUAGAGGGCAUUAACUUUCUUGCACAGGAGGCACCUCCCCCAGAAUCAGACAGGACUUCAGCUGCGUGGCAUCCCUUCCAGUUCUUCGGACUUAGUCAGUGCCCAGACCCUCAGGGCCGUCGGGGUGGGGAGGGCCUCCAUUGUAUUUCCACAGCUACCCUGCCCGGCUCCUGUUCCCGCCCACCGUCUAAGAACAUCUUCCAGAACCCGCUCCAGUGACGAUGCAUCUCUGUCCCAGCAGGAUGCACUGGCACCCCACCUCCAUGCCACCACUGUCCCCUGGAGCUCCAUGGUGCGGGUCACAUCCAUCCAGGCCCUGGAACCGCACGCUGCAGCUCCCGGCUGGGCCUCGUCUUCAUCCCGCCGCAAGCUCCCAGGACCCCAGCCACAUCUUCCUGGCCUGGUCCCCAGACCACAGUGUUUAACUGCAUCGUGUCCACAUGGUCUCCACCUCAGGUGGCAGGGCCCGAGGCCACCAAGGACACAGGAGGUGAGGGAGCACAGAGCCUCCUCGGAGCACGGGAGGCAGGCACCGAGAGCGCCGGCUUCUGUGCAGCCCAGGCCCCAGUCACUUGACGCAGCCCCCACGGUGACCCACGCUGCCUGGUUUCUUCCUGCCGACAAGACUGGAAAGCAAACACCACCUGCGCUCCAGGCCUCGGGCUUUUCUGGAUGCUGAACAAUUCUGCAGGAGUGUGGGCCAGGCACCUGAGGGGCCUGGCAUCCCUUUGCUUGCUAACGCCAAAUUUGAAGCCCCAGCUCAGAAGCAGCAUCUGGUGGUUAUUGCUACUCCGGCCCUGAGAGCUUUGGAGCCAGACAGCCCGGGGGCCCCACAGCAGGUGCGAGCUGGGUGAGUUCAGCUAUGGGCCCUCCUCACACGCAUGCUGGUGGUCCAUCCCUGUGACAGACGACAUGGCACCAUGGGUGCCCAAUAGGCGGUGCCCAGGCAAUGUCAGGCACUGUUACUACUACAGCCUGUUCUUCCAUCUAGCAGCCUUGACACUGUGCGUGAGAUGCCGAGGACUUGGUAGGUGCAGACGGGGUACAAAGAGCACGAGUUAGCAUGGUCCUCACAGCCCUGCUAAGAUGCCAGAUCAGUGUGGGGACCAGGCACCCUACACGUAUGUCGCCCGGGUCAUCGUGCUGGGCUGUUCCCAGGUCUUUACUGUUAGCCAGCCUGCUCCCGGCACAGCCUGGUGGUUGUCUUGAGCUUGCAUCCCAGGCCUUCUAGGAGUUUGGAUUCACCAGCAGCGCUCCUGACACAUUGGGUGCCAAACACGAGCUCGAGCCCGAAGAGAGGUUACCGCAGCUCCGUCGUGCCUACACGCUGGGACGCCCGUGGAGGCCCCCAGGUAAGCGUUUAUCACCAGUCGGCAUAGAGGUCCCGAGCUCUCUGAGCACUGCCAUCAGCCACAGAUGGCCCCACACAGGACACAUAGGUGGACUUCAGUGAAGCAUUUCAUCUCAGCGCACUGGAGGCGAAGGUCCAAGCUGGGCUUGGGAGUCCGAAUCUACUAGUCAUUCUGUUUCCAGUAUGAGCGAGUUCCAGCCUCAGGGUGUGAGGGGAAGUACCUGAGUCAUGUUUGUGAAGCACCUGGACACCGCAUGAUCCUGCACUACAGCAGAUGGCCAGGAGGUGGUGACAGGCACCACUGUUGUGUGC